CAGCUCGCUUGGAGUUUGCCAAAAGGCACCUAAAGGACUCAGACCAUGAGAAACAAGAUUGUCACGUCUGAUGAUGCCAAGACUGAACUCUUUGGCUCAGUGAAGUUAUCCUCGCCAGGUGAGUUAUUAUUGAAAGAUUUUAAAACAGGGGUGUCAAUAAUUUUGACCCUUACCUUUUAUGAGACAAAAAAAUUACUUUUUAAACAAUCUUUCUCUGAGAAAUUGUAUUAGUGUAAAAUAAUGGAAUUUACAAAUUGUUUGUAGCAUACAAUGUAGCUCAGUAUUCAAUUGAGUAAUUUCUGCUCAUGUUUUUCAAGGGUGUCACUAAUUUCAGACCCCACUGAAUAUAGUGAGUUGAUGCAAAUUAUUUUUCUGUUUCUAAUAUGUAUGCCUAUGCUUUAUUUAACAAUUUAGCCAGAGGAUGAAAAUGUCACUCUACACUUGCAAUUAUAUAUCUAUUUUGUAAUUUGACAGGUCCAUUAACCCAGCUUGUCUUCAGUUACUUAUUUAUGUGAUUUGUGUCCCUAGGCAUGCACUGUUUUUCACAUUGCCUUUAUGCCCUUAACAUUCUUCAGAAUCAUGCUAACUUGAAUCUUUUGUGUGACCCCAGGAGGCCAGCUCUGAUAGUGAUGAGGAGGAACAAGGACAGUCUGCCAAGAAAUCCAAGAAGACAGUGGAGGUUAUUAAAGUCACAGAGAAAAUGGUUGAAUGGAGAGCUGCAAUCAAGUGUUCAACACCAUGGUCCUGUUCUGUAUCCAAGACGUAUACGUGGCUCUGCAGAGGAUGCUGAACCUAAAGGCAGAUGAAGACCAGAA